rnacentral:lncRNA from 1 species
CAAAAGGCGAUACCUCUUUCGUAAACGAGCCAAUCGUCGAUCCAUACGAGCCGCCAAUCGCGACUGGUAAUCUCCACGAUCUCGUCCAGUCUAUGCUCGGACACAUUCAGGUAAGAUACAUAAACUUUUGUUUCCUCUUACAGCUCAGAUUGGUCAGUGUAUGUACUUACUCGAGUCUGCUGCUGCAGGUAAUUGAAGCAGUGCUGCAGCCUGAUGCCGAGUCGGUGGAGAAUUCGAAUUCGUCAGAUCAAUCGAGAGCGGUGGCGGCUCUGAAGGAGCUGAGGAGGAUUAGCACUUGUCUGUCGGAGAUGUGAGGUCCGUGAGAGCAUUGUUUGUAAUUGAGUUAAGAGACGAUGUAAAUACAUAAUUGUAAGUAACUACUACUUAUUCUUUCAGAGUAGUUACUUAACUAACCAACCAUAAUCCAAAACCAGAGAUCCAACCCAACACGUAACCAACCAGAAUCACCAGGCUCGAGCUCGAGCUCAAGCUCAAGCCAGAUUAUUAUAUUAUUACAAAGUUAAAACUAAAAUUGGAAAUUCAUAACCAGUCGAUGAUUAUAUAUUAAUGGAGGGAAGACGGAGAACAUCCUCUGGUUUCUCAGCCUCGCUAAUGCUUA